GCUCUCGUCGUCUAAUGGCUAUGAUAUCAGAUUCCUAUAGCCCGUUAAGAUGAUUCUUGGCUAUGAUCUGGGGGUUCCGGGUUCGAAUCCCGGCGGGAGUA